rnacentral:lncRNA from 1 species
UAACAGUAAGUGCUCAUUGACUUAGGUUUUUUGAUAACAGCCAAAUUUAAAUUACUGAACAAAUGGUUGUUGUUAAUGUAACCCAGUCUUUUGCUGUUCAGCAGUUGGUAUCAUCACCUAUCCCAACCAGUCAGAGAAACGCAGCACGGCAUCCAACGACAGUCCCAUCUACAGCACCAUCAACACAGCUGCUGGGGACGACCUGCUGGCGUACUACGACACCUAUUCCAGCAUGUCCUACAACCAGGGUCCUGACCCGUACAGCAGCAACCCAGUACUGUCCAACAAAGGACUGAUGGGGCUGGAGCAGGACCUGGACCAGUGGACCAUCCAGUCUUGUCAGUCUGGGUCUGAAUAUGCCAAACUCCAAUAUACCAAGAAAAAUAAUGACAAACCAGCAAAGCAGAAGUCUGGCGGGUCCUCGUCCAAGUCAACUUCUCUCACCUGGGUCGAUGUUCUGUCACUCCCUCUUCCUGCCAACAAAGACAAGGGUCAUACAAAGGCAGACAAAGAAGAAGAGCAGCACAGCUCUGAGGAGGAAGAUGAUGACUGGUGUCCUCCGCUGCCUGCCAGAACCUACCUGAUGGACGCGUCCAGGGAGGAGCUUUCCCGCCUCCCAUCCAAACUAGACGCACCACCAAUGAUGACUUCCCCCCAGCGAGAUACAGACAAGCCUGGUGACAGCCUGCGGCUCCAGCACUUUGACCCCUUGGCCCGUCAUCACUUGGGCAGCCAGGUCUCACAGUCCAACCCAGAUGUGUUUACCAACACCAGGGCCCAGGAUGCCACUGAGGUGUACCACACCAGCCAAUGGGCAGACACUUUGACGGGGGAAAAUAUUGGUAAAGGACAAUCCCCUGCUCCUGCUGGCGAGUUGAGCCCCACAUCUCUGCCUCACAGAUCCAGGAGUAAGAAGAAAACGCCCAAGGAAGGACAAGUCAGGCGAGAGCCACACAACCAAGCAGAACUCCCCCCAGCACCAGCUCCUCCUUCGACAGAGGACUCCAUGCAACUGUGGUCGGAUGUUUUGAGCCGCAGCCGAACAGACAGUGAAAACAAAGAGCUUGGUGACUCACCUACACUUUCAAUGACAGGAGAACCGUUCUCAUCCCAGAAAAGAGGAGCUACCA